UACGUAGGGUGCAAGCGUUGUCCGGAAUUAUUGGGCGUAAGAGCUCGUAGGCGGUCUGUCGCGUCGGCUGUGAAAUCCCGAGGCUCAACCUCGGGUCUGCAGUCGAUACGGGCAAACUAGAGUAUUGCAGGGGAGACUGGAAUUCCUGGUGUAGCGGUGAAAUGCGCAGAUAUCAGGAGGAACACCGGUGGCGAAGGCGGGUCUCUGGGCAAUAACUGACGCUGAGGAGCGAAAGCGUGGGGAGCGAACAGG
rnacentral:rRNA from 1 species